GAAAUGCGAUAAGUAGUGUGAAUUGCAGAAUUUAGUGAAUCAUCGAAUCUUUGAACGCACAUUGCGCCCUUUGGUAUUCCUUAGGGCAUGCCUGUUCGAGCGUCAUUUGUAACCUCAAGCUCAGCUUGGUGUUGGGUGUCUGUCCCCGCCCCGCGCGGGGACUCGCCUCAAAAACAUUGGCGGCCGGUACGUUGGCUUCGAGCGCAGCAGAAACGCGAACUCGAGGCCCGACGGAUCGGCGACCAGAAGUCACUUCUUCCACAGCUUGACCUCGGAUCAGGUAGGGAUACCCGCUGAACUUAAGC
rnacentral:misc_RNA from 1 species